UUGGAGGGCAAGUCUGGUGCCAGCAGCCGCGGUAAUUCCAGCUCCAAUAGCGUAUAUUAAAGUUGUUGUGGUUAAAAAGCUCGUAGUUGAAUUUCGGGGUCAGUAGGUUGGUCGUGCCACCGGUACGUACUGGUCUCACUGAUUCCUCCUUCCUGAUGAGCUGUAAUGCCAUUAAUUUGGUGUUGCAGGGAAUCUGGACUGUUACUUUGAAAAAAUUAGAGUGUUUAAAGCAGGCUAACGCUUGAAUACAUUAGCAUGGAAUAAUGAAAUAGGACGUUCGAUCCUAUUUUGUUGGUUUCUAGGAUUGACGUAAUGAUUAAUAGGGAUAGUUGGGGGCAUUAGUAUUCAAUUGUCAGAGGUGAAAUUCUUGGAUUUAUUGAAGACUAACUACUGCGAAAGCAUUUGCCAAGGAUGUUUUCAUUAAUCAGGAACGAAAGUUAGGGGAUCGAAGACGAUCAGAUACCGUCGUAGUCUUAACCAUAAACUAUGCCGACUAGGGAUCGGACGGUGUUAUUUUUUGACCCGUUCGGCGCCUUACGGGAAAC
rnacentral:rRNA from 1 species